rnacentral:rRNA from 1 species
AACGCGAAGAACCUUACCUAGGCUCGAACGGCUUCGGAAUUCCGUGGAAACACGGGCGUCCCCUUAAAAGGACCGGAGUCGAGGUGCUGCAUGGCUGUCGUCAGCUCGUGUCGUGAGAUGUUGGGUUAAGUCCCGCAACGAGCGCAACCCUUGUCCUGUGUUGCCAUCAUUUAGUUGGGAACUCGCAGGAGACCGCCAGCGAUAAGCUGGAGGAAGGUGGGGAUGACGUCAAGUCCUCAUGGCCUUUAUGUCUAGGGCUACACACGUGCUACAAUGGACGGUACAAUACGUCGCUAACCCGCGAGGGGGAGCCAAUCGCUAAAAACCGUUCUCAGUUCGGAUUGCAGGCUGCAACUCGCCUGCAUGAAGCUGGAAUCGCUAGUAAUGGCAGAUCAGCACGCUGCCGUGAAUACGUUCCCGGGCCUUGUACACACCGACUGUAC